rnacentral:rRNA from 1 species
GACGAACGCUGGCGGCGUGCUUAACACAUGCAAGUCGAACGGAAAGGCCCUGCUUUUGUGGGGUGCUCGAGUGGCGAACGGGUGAGUAACACGUGAGUAACCUGCCCUUGACUUUGGGAUAACUUCAGGAAACUGGGGCUAAUACCGGAUAGGAGCUCCUGCUGCAUGGUGGGGGUUGGAAAGUUUCGGCGGUUGGGGAUGGACUCGCGGCUUAUCAGCUUGUUGGUGGGGUAGUGGCUUACCAAGGCUUUGAAGGGUAGCCGGCCUGAGAGGGUGACCGGCCACAUUGGGACUGAGAUACGGCCCAGACGCCAACGGGAGGCAGCAGUGGGGAAUAUGGCACAAUGGGCGGAAGCCUGAUGCAGCAACGCCGCGUGCGGGAUGACGGCCUUCGGGUUGUAAACCGCUUUCGCCUGUGACGAAGCGUGAGUGACGGUAAUGGGUAAAGAAGCACCGGCUAACUACGUG